rnacentral:rRNA from 1 species
GAUGAACGCUGGCGGCGUGCCUAAUACAUGCAAGUCGAGCGAACAGACGAGGAGCUUGCUCCUCUGACGUUAGCGGCGGACGGGUGAGUAACACGUGGAUAACCUACCUAUAAGACUGGGAUAACUUCGGGAAACCGGAGCUAAUACCGGAUAAUAUAUUGAACCGCAUGGUUCAAUAGUGAAAGACGGUUUUGCUGUCACUUAUAGAUGGAUCCGCGCCGCAUUAGCUAGUUGGUAAGGUAACGGCUUACCAAGGCGACGAUGUGUAGCCGACCUGAGAGGGUGAUCGGCCACACUGGAACUGAGACACGGUCCAGACUCCUACGGGAGGCAGCAGUAGGGAAUCUUCCGCAAUGGGCGAAAGCCCGACGGAGCAACGCCGCGUGAGUGAUGAAGGUCUUCGGAUCGUAAAACUCUGUUAUUAGGGAAGAACAAAUGUGUAAGUAACUAUGCACGUCUUGACGGUACCUAAUCAGAAAGCCACGGCUAACUACGUG